UAUCCUAUAAUAAAAGGGAUAUAUAAUCCACAGGAAAGGUGUCCACGUCACUUUAAAAAUCAACCAAUAAUGAAGUUUCAUUUUGCCACGUCAGUCUGCUGUUAGUCAACACAAAAUUUUCGCAGGCCAACUUAGUUAUGGGCUUCUGAUUUUCUGUGUUGUCGUGGCUCAUCAUUAUAGCCCAAAAUACAUAUCAUUAUUAUUCAAAAUACGGGCAAAAUUAAUUAAUCACAGCCACCGUUUACAACCUUUUCAGAUUUCUCUACUGUAAAGAUUCUGAUUUAAUUGACAUAAAGUUUACCUAGCCAUCUGUUACCUCUUCUUCAUCUUCUGCCGUUUAGAGUAUGCUCAAACUUCUACAUGUCAAUCCAUUUUCCAACUUCUCUUUGAUACAUAUAUAUAUAUAGACUCCAAAUCCUUGAACCAUCGCUAUGGUGGCCCUAAAACGCUCCAAAUCGUCGAUCUCUGACUGUUUACUUCGACAAAGUCGCCGCCUGUCAAGUUGAUUCACUUUUGAGAAGCCCAUAUCCCGCUAAAGUCGGGAUGCUAAUCGGCCUUCACCUGCUUCUGAUCGAAGAAUAGGUAUGACCUAAUCUUCUCAAACCCCUCAAUUUGAUAGUGCCAGUUUAUGUAACCUAACAUAUAUCACACAUCCACAUGGCUCCAUUGUUCUGAAGCCGCUAUGAAGAUUUUCUGAAGCGUGUCUCCUCCUACAGUUCUUUAGGGAAUCCACACAUUGCUUUUGAACCAGUCAAUCGGAAUCGAAAUGGGUGUUUCAGAAAUGCAUUUGGAGUAACGGCGAGUGCGGCGUCUUCUUCGUUAGUCUCUACGAUCUGCGCGACGGCGAGAAGAGAUUGCUGACGUUUCGGCUGAACACCGGGGCGUGCGAUCGGAUUUCGGCGGUUACGCUUCAGAGAGAGUUUAUGAGAGAGACGACGGUUGCGGAUGGAUGUUGCGACGAACACGUGGCGAAGGAUGUGGGGUUAGGUAAGGCGAUAGAGGAGAUGAUUCCGAGUGGGGAAGGGGAUAAACUGUUUUGGGCGCAUUGGAUGGACGUGCUGGGUUACUCGCUGAAUGCAUUCCGGUUCUCGAAUUUGAGUUUCGUGGAUGGACGCUGAAGACCCGAACCGGAGAUCUCAGGUGGUAAGGAUGAAACUGGAAAAAGAUCAGACUCUUAAACUUGUGGCUGUAAGUGUCUCUCCUUAUUCCAGCAACUUCUAUAGUUGUGUGCGCAGAUUUGCUUACCAUUAUUGCUUAUUAAGCUAGAUUAUAUACUUUACUAUUAAUUUAUUUAAAUAUUUAAUAUUAUAUUGAAAUGAUAAUCUUUUCUGAUAGAUAGUGGUUAUAUAUGAACACUUAUCUCUGCAAUCAAACAGUGUUAUCUAAAUUGUUUGUUAAAUGAUGAAUGGACAAAAUAAGUCCCAAGGCGUUUUCAUAUUUGAUGACAAGGGGUCCGGCUACAGAAGUAAGCUUCAGCUUAGGAACUAAGGAAACCAAAGUUGUGUUUUGUAAUUAUACUAUGUUUUUGGAAUUAUGUUCAUUGGCGUAAGUUGCCGUUAGUCGGUAAGAUUGUACUUGCUUUUUAACCUUUUCCUUAGUGAUUUUCAAAAUUGGUAAAGACCUAUUUAAGUUUUUCCUGCGUUCUUUGCCAAUUCCUCUUCCAAGUGUUUUGCAAGUUGUGACUUAUUUCUUCGUUUCAGAAUUAUACCUAGAUUACUGGUAUUUUUAUAGCUUAAUGGACCCUUUUAUAAAAAAGGAUUGAUCUUUUUAGGAAAACAUGUAAAGUAGAUUCAAUUUGAUCUAAGAGUGGUAUGUAAUUUAUUAAUCUUCAAAAUGAAUUGUUUCUCUAAUUAUUAUUUUUCAUUUCAAUAUUUUGGUGUAGCUUUAUCAAAUUACAUAUAAAAACUCAUUUGUAUACUUCCAUAUGUAUUCAACAUACAUACAAUGUACAAUAGAACAUCUAUAAAUUGAACAUUAUUUUCUAUAAAUUAAUAAUGUUGGGACUUUGAAAUUAUGUUAAUUUAUAGAGAUAUUAAUUUACAAAAAGUUUCUUUUUCGAUUCUUUUCGACUUUUUUCUAUUUUUAUUUAUACCAUAUAUACAUAAAUAAAAAAUUUAGAAAAUUGACUUUCAAAUUGUUUUAUUAUAUUACUUGGUUUAUAUUUUUAUGUUUUAUAUAACUUAUAUGUGGUUUUUCGAUAUAAUUUUACUAAAUAUUAUCAAAAUAUAUUGAAAUGUUAUGAAAAAAUAGAAGUAUUUUUAUUGUGAAUAUAAAAUCAAUAAUAUAAUAUUUGGUUUGUACUUAUAUGAAAUGUAUAUAUAGAUAUAUUAUUAAUUUAUGAUUUUAAUGAGACCAUAUAUUUACAUAGGAUUUUCUAAGAACAUAUUAUCUUCUUAUUUUAUUGAUUUGUGUCAUAUUUUGAACCGGCCGAACUUGGGACCGGAAUUUUUUAUUAAUUUAUAGAGGGUCUACUUUAGUAUCAAAUAAUAUCAUAAAUAUUGAUGAACUUCAAAUCUAUAAAGUUUUACCUAAUAUAUAUUAUUAUGAAAGCAUUCAUUCCUUCUUUUAAAUAUAAUAUAUUUUUAAAAUAUAAGUCUAAAAAUGAAAAUUUCUCUAAAUUAAUAGCUCUAUAAAUUAAUAAAUUAUCAUAGUUCCAAUAUUAUUAAGAGUUUUAUUGUACUAUUAAAUUUCCGAAGUUAAAUUAUAUACUAUAAUGCAAAUUAUGUUCAAGCGACUACGAAAUAAAAUGUAAUACAAGUACAAACUUUAAGAUAAAUUCCGGAGUAAGUUGAUUGUAUAUUUGUGAUGAUUAAAUUCAGUCACAAAUAGUUUACAAGUUAUUUUUUUAAAACAAAUUAUUAAGUGAAACUCAAAAGUAUCCACUAACAAUUAUAUAAUUUUGUAUUUAAUUAAUAUUUAAUUUUAAGAUUUAUUAAAUCACAAAAUUCAACACUAUUUUUCUCUUCAAAACAAAAUAGUGAAGAAAAAGAAUUCAGUUUACUAUAAUACCAAAAUAUUUUCCAAAUAAAUUCAUUCACAAAUAGUUUACAAGUUAUUUAAAAAAACUAAAUUAUUAAGUGAAACACAUAAGUAUACAGUAAAAAUUAUAUAAUUUUAAAUUUUUUUAAUAUUUAGUUUUAAGAUCUGUUAAAUAAAAAAAUUCAACACUAUUUUUCUCUUCAAAAAAAUGGCGAAGAAAAAAAAAAUUCAAUUUACUAUAAUACCAAAACGUUUUCCAAUCCAGUAAUAUAAUUUAAAAUAUUUAGUCAAAAGAAUAUAAUUUAAAAUGCAGAAUGGUGGUAAAAAAAGGGUAGUUCCAAAUAAUAAAAAAACGGAUGCAGUACAAAAAAAUAAACAAGAAAGAUAUACACUCUAUUUUCUGUAACUCUAUGAAAAUUUAAAUUAUUUGCCCACAUAAACCGUCUGAGAACAAUAUAAAAUCACACAAAUAGAUCGAUAAAUUAGGAAUGGUCUUAAUCUACUUAGAUAAAAAAUGUAUUACUAUUAUCAGUUUAGUCAUUCAAAAAAUAGUAAUAAACAUAAAACCAAACAAUAAUAUGGACAAAUGGUUAAAGUUAAAUUUCUUAUUUUUAAAAGCAUAUAAACAAGAAGAAAUUUUUGAAAAUGAAUAGAAUUUAUGAAUUUACAGAUAUUGUAGUACAUAUCAGUGGUAAUAAAUAUAGGCUAACUCCACAUCAUAUAUCUUUAAGAACAUUUCCAAUAUAAAACUUCAUUUUUGUUCCUAAAUAAAGUAAUUUUAUAAUGGAAUUGAAUUUACUCUCUAACCAUGCUCUAAAAAUGGAGUGAAAAUAAAGUAAUAGACAAAAAAAAUAAAAUAAUUACUCUAUUUAUCGAGUUAUCCAUGUUUCCUCUAUUAUAAAAUAAAAAUAGAAUAAGGUUAUAGCAUUUCUUACUCCAAAUUUUAUUUUGAAAUAAAUUAUGUAGUAGAGUUGAAAAUGUCCUAAGGUCAACUAAAAACAACAAUAUACUUAGCAAACAGUACAAACAAAUGUUAUAAGGCAAUACACUGUAUAAGGACACACAUCUCCAAAUUCAUAUGCAAAAAAACAGAAGUUGUUAAGGUUGUUUAUGAAUAAGUAAGGGAUGUUACAUACACUUUAAUACCUAGAAAGAACAACUCUCUUAUUUUAAUAGACUUCAUCAAGGUAUUUUAGAAAAGUAGGUAUUUCUUCAGUUAUAAAUAUGGUUUACAAUAAUGUAACCAACUGUUUUUACAUACAUUGUGUCAGUUAAAAUUUUGUAUUGAAAAUUUAAUUUCAUUUUGUUUAACCAUUUGUUUAACCAGAAUAAUAAUAAUAAUAAUAAUAAUAAUAUUUUUUAAACAAUGGGCAGCGUAGACCAGUUUUUGAUAGUACUUAAAAAACCAUAUGAUACAAAAGAGUAGAGAAACAUAACAAUGAGUCAUAAGAAGAAAUGCAGAUAUUUGUAACGACUCACCAAACUGCUCUAAAAAAAACCAUUGGAUCAGUUUCAAACAUAGGUAUUCAUUAUAUCCCUGCAGUAAGUUUUUUUUUUCGUUUUAGAGCAUUUUCAACUUCAAUUUAUAUUUUUAUUCUAAAAUAAAAUUAAGAGUAAAAUGAUAUAAUUUUACUCUAUUUUUUGCUUAUAUAAUAGUGUAAAAGUAAGUUCAUUAAAAAAAAAGAUAUUGAUUCAAGAUUUAAAGAUUUAGGUGAGUGAAUUUGAUUAGUUAUCAAAAACUAUUAUCAUUCAAAUAUUUAUCAAACAUAUAGUAAAAAUAUUUUUGAAAUAGAAUACAUUUAUAAAAAAAUAUUUAUAUAUUUGUCUGAAAUGAAGCUAAAGUCAUAGGUGUAUAAUUAUGCAGUAAAAUACACAAUAGUUAGAAAUAAAGUGGAAUUCAUCAACCUAAAGAAUCACAACCAAACAUCGCUAAUUACUGUCAAUUACUUUUUUUUGCAUAUUUUAUGAAUAUUUUAGUGAAAAAUAAUCCAAAUCAUUUUUAAAUAUAAAAUAUAAUAAGACAUAAUCCGCGCGUAGCGCGGAAAAAAGAUCUAGUAUAUUUAAGAGACAAAAAAGAGGAAAUUCCAAGCCUACAUACAGAUAAAAGCUCUGUAAAUUCAUAAUGUUGAGAUUAUGAUAAUUUAUUAAUUUAUGAAGUUUUUAAUUUAAAGAUACUCUCCUUGUUUAAAUUUAUAUUUUAAAAUAUAAUUUUAUUUUUUCGACAAAAAUAUAUAAAUAUAUAAAAUAUACUUUUGUUUAGAAAUUCUUUUUUAGUAAUGAUAUUAAAUUUACAAAAAAAAUUAAAGAUUUGGAUUUCAUCUAUUUUUUAGAUUGUUUGAUAUUAUUUUAUAUAUGGUGAAUACAUAUCAGCAUACAAUUAACUUUUAUAUGUUGUUCAACAAAAUAAAAUAUAAAUUAGAGAUGAAGUUUAUUUUAAAGAAAAUAAACAACAAAAUGCGUUGUGUAUGUUUAUAUAAUUUUAUAUAUAUAUAUAUAUAUAUAUAUUAGUUAUUAGUUUAUAAUUUUAAUAGAAUCAUAUAUUUAUCUAAAUUUUGUUAAAUAUUAUUAUUCUAUUAUGGGAAAACGAGCUAUUUCCCCACGAGAACUAUCAUAUAGCAUCAGAUGUCUCCCAAACUAUUGCAUCGUCCUAUAUAUCCCCGAAAAACAAAGUUCCAAAUUUAAUUCUCCACGAAACAAAAGUUAAAUACUUAUUUCCCCUUGAAUUUAAAGUUCGAAACUUAUAAACCCAUACAAAUUAAUUAUUUUGGUUUACUAUAUAAAAACUAAACCGAAAACAUUAUUUAACCGAUUAUAAACCAUGAAAGACCCGAUCAGGAUCCGAUUCUAUCUCUUAAACCAAUAACCAAUAACCCACACCCGAAAAUUUGUUAACCCGAAACCCACACCCGACAAUUAACCCCGAAUAGAAAUCUAGGUAAAAAAAAUCUGAGUGUUUCAAUUCUUGAAGAUGAAAGCAAAAGUGAAAUUUGGUAGAGAAGACUGAAGUUGAAGAACGAAAACUAAAGGCCUAGAGAUUAUAUAUUUUUCUGUGGAGAUGAUAUUAGUUGCAGAGGAGCUGAGCCGAGGAGAUGAAGCCUUAUUACGAGGAUGUGUUUCUUGGCUGUUAUAAAUAUUACAUAUGGUAAAUUGUAAUGAAGAUCCGUAGGUUGGUGGUUGUUGCAUUUUAAAUUAGCACUACAAGUCACGAGUUCGAGCUAAUGCUAUUGCACUUUAUGAAGUUUUGAUUUUAAUUAAAUGAAUAUAAAUGACGAUUUUGUCCUCGUCUUCUACCCUAUGUCUGCGAUUUGCAGAUCCUAAAUGUCCCACCUUUCACUCUCUUUUUCACGAUUUCACAGCUUUCUAAACUAAAUCUUGUGGGUUUUAUCCAAAUAUAAUAGACCCAUAUCAUAAACUAUGAUAUAACACUUGUAAUUUCAAAUUUUCAAGCUUUUUCAUUUCACCACCUUGGCUCAUUGAUUCUGACCAGACGAGAACUCGGAAAGUGACCACUCAAAGCUCUGUACGCAGAAUUUGACGACCCAUACAUUAUCAUUUCUGAUCGAUGAAGAUUCAAACAAUCAAAUUUUUUAAAAAAAUUAAUUUUAGGGUUCUUCACGUGUACCAUUGGAGAUUUUAAAAGAGGGUUUAGUGGGUCGGGUAAAACUUGGUCAAGUAUUGAGUUCAAAACUGGUUUUUCGGUUUUAUUUUACAGUUUGAUGGUCUGUACCGGUGAUUAUACCAAUUUUUUCCUAAACCAACAUUUGUGGAGAAAUCAAUCUCAAACUAUUUUUUCGGGGAUAUAUAAAAUGAGGCAAUAGUUUGGGAGACAUCUGAUGCUAUGCAAUAGUUCAUGUGGGGAAAUAGCUAGUUGACCCUUCUAUUAUCUUAUCAAAUCAUAUUUUAAAUUACCCUAACUUAAAACAAGAUAUUUAUUAAUUUAUAGAGUUUAUACUACACUAAUAUCAACUUUUCAAAAGAAAUCAGAUCACAAUAGUUUAGUUGGAGUCCAAACUGUCAAGACCAUGUAUAUACAGCGUUUAAUACUCACGGACUUUCACUUAAUUGCCUGCUAGGGACCAACAUGUAUGUUAACACUUUAUGAACAAAACUAAUCUCACAUAAGAAUAUGUUGUAUUACACACAAAAAAAAAAUAAAAAAGGAUUUUUAUAUACACACAAGAUAGUUGCACAAAGAAUGAGGUCAUUGUCGUCUUCACAGUAGAAAAUGAGCAGAACAAACAUUAUUCCAUCACCAAAA